CAAGCUGGGGAGCUGAAGAAGUUGUACUGCUAUUCUGCUCCACCAGCCACAUCACCAGGGCAACAUGGCAUUCACAGGCAAAUACGAAUUUGAGGGUGAUGAGAACUAUGACGAGUUUGUGAAGAAGAUUGGUCUCCCCAGUGACAAGGUUGAAAUGGGAAGGAAUUGCAAAAUAGUCACUGAGGUGGUGCAGAAUGGAAAUGACUUCACCUGGACACAGCAUCUCCCAGGAGGCCGCACCACCACCAACUCAUUCACAAUUGAUAAGGAAGCAGACAUGGAGACAAUGGGUGGUAAAAAGUUCAAGGCAACUGUUAAAAUGGAAAAUGGGAAACUAGUAGCUGAUUUUCCCAACUAUCACCAUACUGCAGAGAUUUCUGGAGGAAAGCUAGUAGAGACUUAAUCUGACCCAAUUCCACAAGCAGAACUAAGACAUCAAGAGACAAUUUCUGCUUAGAAGACAGAGUCACUAGAAGAAAGACUGGAAAUACAACUGUGUUCUACUCAGCUUUUCAGUAUCCUUAGAGCCAAAGGUACAACCCUUGGCAGAAAGGCACCGAGGUUCCAGUGACCAGUGGAUCCAGAUCAACGUCCUCUGAAUGAGCGAGUCAUAAGGAUUCUGUUCCUUCAUGGUUAUCAUUCAGAUACGGAUCUUGUAUCAACACAGGGUCUCUUCAGCUUCUACUCAUCUUCCCUUUUGCUCCCAUCAAUAUUUAUCCAUCAAAACACCCAGCUGCGUAUGACUGAUGACCACUGAAGUAACUGCUGCCAUAAGCCAUGGAAAAGCAAUGUCUAGGCUCUGUUUCUAAUGUCACCUGCAUGGCAACAGGCUCUUGGAGGGGCAGAGUCUGGGCAGAUAGCCGAAGGCCAGCUGGAAGAGCUGCACAGGAGUGCAGUGAGCUGCCAGCACUGCCAGCAAGCAGGCUGCUGGGCCUGCGGGCCUGCAAGGAGGCACGGUAAGCAAAGCACAAGUCUUGCACUGGUGACUGGAACUGGGAAAGCGUAGCUGCAUGCUGGGCUAAAGGCUGGUAACUGGAUUGCUGGAAGAGGACUUCAGUAAUAGCUUGACGUCUCAGAUUCCCCACUGCUUCUUGUUCUUGAUGUUGAAUUGUUACUUGCUUUAUGUUACUGGCUUCUUUGAUGUCAUUCUCAUAAUAUCUGAAACAAAUUGUAAGUAAGGUUUACCAAAGAAAGAAGUUCACAGAGCUUACGUUUAUCCCCAGGUUUCCACCAGUCAGGCUACAUCAUCAGCUUUUUGGCCCUAGCUGUAUAUGGCAAUCCUCACUUGCUUUCACAGUUAAUUUCUAAUUGCCCUGCUGCAAUCUU